rnacentral:misc_RNA from 1 species
GGAUCAUUACCGAGUUAUACAACUCAUCAACCCUGUGAACAUACCUAUAACGUUGCCUCGGCGGGAACAGACGGCCCCGUAACACGGGCCGCCCCCGCCAGAGGACCCCCUAACUCUGUUUCUAUAAUGUUUCUUCUGAGUAAACAAGCAAAUAAAUUAAAACUUUCAACAACGGAUCUCUUGGCUCUGGCAUCGAUGAAGAACGCAGCGAAAUGCGAUAAGUAAUGUGAAUUGCAGAAUUCAGUGAAUCAUCGAAUCUUUGAACGCACAUUGCGCCCGCCAGUAUUCUGGCGGGCAUGCCUGUUCGAGCGUCAUUACAACCCUCAGGCCCCCGGGCCUGGCGUUGGGGAUCGGCGGAAGCCCCCUGCGGGCACAACGCCGUCCCCCAAAUACAGUGGCGGUCCCGCCGCAGCUUCCAUUGCGUAGUAGCUAACACCUCGCAACUGGAGAGCGGCGCGGCCACGCCGUAAAACACCCAACUUCUGAAUGUUGACCUCGAAUCAGGUAGGAAUACCCGCUGAACUUAA